rnacentral:rRNA from 1 species
GACGAACGCUGGCGGCGUGCUUAACACAUGCAAGUCGAACGAUGAAGCCGGAGCUUGCUCUGGUGAAUUAGUGGCGAACGGGUGAGUAACACGUGAGUAACCUGCCCUUGACUCUGGGAUAACUGCUAGAAAUGGUAGCUAAUACCGGAUACGACCCUCGGAGGCAUCUCCAGGGGGUGGAAAGAAUUUCGGUCAAGGAUGGACUCGCGGCCUAUCAGCCAGUUGGUGAGGUAACGGCUCACCAAGGCGACGACGGGUAGCCGGCCUGAGAGGGUGACCGGCCACACUGGGACUGAGACACGGCCCAGACUCCUACGGGAGGCAGCAGUGGGGAAUAUUGCACAAUGGGCGCAAGCCUGAUGCAGCAACGCCGCGUGAGGGAUGACGGCCUUCGGGUUGUAAACCUCUUUUAGUAGGGAAGAAGCGAAAGUGACGGUACCUGCAGAAAAGGCACCGGCUAACUACGUGCCAGCAGCCGCCGUAA